rnacentral:rRNA from 1 species
AUUGAACGCUGGCGGCAGGCCUAACACAUGCAAGUCGAGCGGAUGAAGGGAGCUUGCUCCUGGAUUCAGCGGCGGACGGGUGAGUAAUGCCUAGGAAUCUGCCUGGUAGUGGGGGAUAACGUCCGGAAACGGGCGCUAAUACCGCAUACGUCCUGAGGGAGAAAGUGGGGGAUCUUCGGACCUCACGCUAUCAGAUGAGCCUAGGUCGGAUUAGCUAGUUGGUGGGGUAAAGGCCUACCAAGGCGACGAUCCGUAACUGGUCUGAGAGGAUGAUCAGUCACACGGGAACUGGGGACCGGUCCAGACCCCUACGGGGGGGAGGAGGGGGGAAUUUUGGACAAUGGGCGAAAGCCGGACCCAGCCCAGCCGCGGGGGUGAAGAAGGUUUUCGGAUUGUAAAGCACUUUAAGUUGGGAGGAAGGGCAGUAAGUUAAUACCUUGCUGUUUUGACGUUCCCAACAGAAUAAGCACCGGCUAACUUCGU